UAGGGAAUCUUCCACAAUGGACGAAAGUCUGAUGGAGCAACGCCGCGUGAGUGAAGAAGGGUUUCGGCUCGUAAAGCUCUGUUGGUAGUGAAGAAAGAUAGAGGUAGUAACUGGCCUUUAUUUGACGGUAAUUACUUAGAAAGUCACGGCUAACUACGUGCCAGCAGCCGCGGUAAUACGUAGGUGGCAAGCGUUGUCCGGAUUUAUUGGGCGUAAAGCGAGUGCAGGCGGUUCAAUAAGUCUGAUGUGAAAGCCUUUGGCUCAACCGGAGAAUUGCAUCAGAAACUGUUGAACUUGAGUGCAGAAGAGGAGAGUGGAACUCCAUGUGUAGCGGUGGAAUGCGUAGAUAUAUGGAAGAACACCAGUGGCGAAGGCGGCUCUCUGGUCUGCAACUGACGCUGAGGCUCGAAAGCAUGGGUAGCGAACAGG
rnacentral:rRNA from 1 species